UACGGCAGUUAGUGGUAAAAUCCGUCCUUGCCAUGGACGGGCCCCGGGUUCGAUUCCCGGCCGACGCAA